GACGAACGCUGGCGGCGUGCUUAACACAUGCAAGUCGAACGGUGAAGCGCCUUCCUUUUUGGUGGGUGUGGAUGAGUGGCGAACGGGUGAGUAACACGUGAGUAACCUGCCCCCUUCUUCUGGAUAACCGCAUGAAAGUGUGGCUAAUACGGGAUAUUCUGGGUCUGUCGCAUGAUGGGUCUGGGAAAGAUAUUGUUUCGGUGGGGGAUGGGCUCGCGGCCUAUCAGCUUGUUGGUGGGGUGAUGGCCUACCAAGGCGGUGACGGGUAGCCGGCCUGAGAGGGUGGACGGUCACACUGGGACUGAGACACGGCCCAGACUCCUACGGGAGGCAGCAGGGGGGAAUAUUGGACAAUGGGCGCAAGGCUGAUGCAGCGACGCCGCGUGAGGGAUGGAGGCCUUCGGGUUGUGAACCUCUUUCGCCAGUGAAGCAGGCCUGCCUCGUUUGUGGGUGGGUUGACGGUAGCUGGAUAAGAAGCGCCGGCUAACUACGUG
rnacentral:rRNA from 1 species